rnacentral:lncRNA from 1 species
AUGAUAAACAGGCAUCUCUGGCCAGGGGUCUGGGAGCAGAGCCACUUGGUUCCCAGGGCGGGUUUCUUGUUUCCCUGCAGGCAGGUGUUGGCAGGGAUAACGCAGAAGCCUUUGUCCCCUCUGGUCAUUCCACAGCUUGGAUUCUGUCUCUGGCCAGGUCCCAGAGAUGCCGGCUGCUUUCCUCCGGCGGAAGAAGCUGCUCUUUCUGUGUGCAGAUGGUCCCGUUGCAGGACACCUCGGUCACUGGAGAGCAGGCUGGCAGGAGAGUUCCCCUUCCCCAGAGCAGGACGGUGGCUGGGUGGAAAUGACCUUGAGGUGGGAGGAAUGGGGCCUAACUGGCCACUCGGUGACCCUGAGAAGAGGGCAGGAAAGCACGUUGACUCUGACUCGCUGCAGGGAAGAGUUAAAACACGGAGGCGAAGUUGUUUACCCGGAGAGGGACCAUGGAGGGUGGGGACAGGUUUGAGCUGAGCCAGUCGGCUGGUUCCUACCGGUGGUGUCCGAAAGGACCUGGUCAAGGAAGUACACCCGAGGAGAGAAAAGCCUGGAGACUCAGUGACCGGGACUGCCGCAGCGGAGAGGCGCUGGCCAGCGAAAGAAAGCGACAGAUGGCACAAAGAAAGCAUAAUGUGAAAUAGGAAGAAAAGGUCCACAGGGGAAGUAGGCAAAGAAAAGAUGAGGAAAGAAGGAAAACAUGGAAACAAAGCUUUGGUAAAUAGGGAGGGGUGAAAGCGAGGGAAGUGGAAUGGGAAAAACAAGAACCAAGGUAAAUACAGAGUCAGUCAUAUCAUAUACCUGCCAUGUAUAUCACGUACGAGUUCCCAACAGUGAAUGUGAUCGUAAUGUGAACUCAAUAAAAACUGAGAGAAAAGGAACGUGUGGGCAGUGUCGCAGCGCUUGCUUAUCAAAGAUCUGUCAGACAGGCUGUGCUUCGUGGAGAACCUGUGGGGUAUGUGCAUUUCCAAUUGCUAUUCCUCUUGACCCUCACAAGCCACA